GACGAACGCUGGCGGCGUGCCUAACACAUGCAAGUCGAACGGAAAGGCCCUGCUUUUGUGGCGUGCUCGAGUGGCGAACGGGUGAGUAACACGCGAGUAACCUGCCCUUGUCUUUGGGAUAACUUCAGGAAACAGGGGCUCAUACCGGAUAGAAUAUCUUGCUGCAUGGUGGGGGUUGGAAAGUUUCGGCGGUUGGGGAUGGACUCGCUGCUUAUCCGCCUGUUGGUGGGGUAGUGGCUUACCAAGGCUUCGACGGGUAGCCGGCCUGAGAGGGGGACCGGCGACAAUGGGACUGAGAGACGGCCCAGACUGCUACGGGAGGCAGCAGGCGGGAGUAUUGCACAAUGAGCGGAAGCCUGAUGCAGCGGCGCCGCGUGCGGGAUGACGGCCUACGGGUUGUAAACCGCUUUCGCCUGUGACGAAGCGUGAGUGACGGUAAUGAGUAAAGAAGCACCGGCUAACUACGUG
rnacentral:rRNA from 1 species